CCGCUGUCUCGGCUCAGGGCGGGGAGGAGGCGCUUCUGCCUCCCCCCACUGGCUGCUGUCGCCUGGCGGGGGAGGCACUGCUGGCUGGGCCGGGCGGGGGCGUAGCGGCAACCGCCUCCCCCCACUCUCCCAAGGAGGUGCGGGCACCGCGGUCCCUCCCAGUCCCUGGGAGCCUCUCUGCCGUCCCCCUUGGGCCUCUCAAGGAAGCUUCUCUGGCCGCUGUGGAUAUUGGUUUUUGUUGGACUUGGAAUUGGGAAUUGAGGGCGACUGGGGGACGCCGGGACAGAGGGCGAUUCAGGCUGGUCCUCACCCUAAGAAGAGAGAGCCUCCCCAACCCCAAGAAGGAAGGGAAAGAGGAUGGCUCUCUGGGUCCCUGUGAGAUGGGAAUGUUCCCACUUUCUCUCUGGAUUCUCUGCAAAAGACAGCAAGAUACCCCAGGGGAUAUUGGUGGAAAAGAUGAAUGCAUAGGAAUCAAGCUGAAGGAAGAGAAAGAAGGAAAGAAAAGAAACCAGUGAAGCACAGAUGUGCAGACCAGAGGAGGAAUUGUCCUAACUAUUGUUCCUAUGACAAUUGAAAAUAAAUGUAGUUUUUACUCUGCGUGGCUAGAGAAU
ensembl:lncRNA